rnacentral:sRNA from 1 species
ACAGGCUGUCCGGAAGUCAAGAGACAUUUUCCUCAUGUUAACAGAGUCGCUGCGCCAAAAGAAAAAAAAGGCUUCAUUGAUAAGCUAUACCACCUGAAGCAUUUGGCAGUCCCCUAGCGCAGACUAGGACGGAUACGAGAACUCCAUAAUGCCAGCAAGGAUUAAACACGAACACCGACUCCUACCCAAGUGGCACGAUUGGAUUCCGGAGAAAGAUGACCAAAAAAAAAAAAAAAAAAGGAAAUCACGUUAAGAAUUGAAUGGGCCUGGUUUGAGAUUGGCAAUGCGACAGGCCAAUUCUUCUGGAAGCUGGAAUCGUGUCAGGUACAGUCCCCGCAGAAGAGUGUACAUAUUCAAAAUGAGCUGGA